ACGGGACAUUCUGUGGAGACCCAGAGGCAUCUUUCCCAAGAGGCAGGAAAGGGACAGAAUAGAAGUUUGGAAGAGCUGGGCAUCCUUUACCUUGUCUGUGUCAGAGAAAGUUUUCCAGCCGCCCUUCCCAGGCCCCACCAAGCCACCAUCGGGCUGGCAUAUGCGGUUCCUUGGUGCAGUAAUCAAAGAGAACAAGAGAAAUGGAGACUGAAAUGAAGCCGAG